GACGAACGCUGGCGGCGUGCCUAAUACAUGCAAGUCGAGCGCAGGAAGCUGACGGAACUCUUCGGAGGGAAGGCAGUGGAAUGAGCGGCGGACGGGUGAGUAACACGUAAGGAACCUGCCUCAAGGAUUGGGAUAACUCCGAGAAAUCGGAGCUAAUACCGGAUAGUUCAACGGACCGCAUGGUCCGCUGAUGAAGGGCGCUCCGGCGUCACCUUGAGAUGGCCUUGCGGUGCAUUAGCUAGUUGGUGGGGUAACGGCCCACCAAGGCGACGAUGCAUAGCCGACCUGAGAGGGUGAUCGGACACACUGGGACUGAGACACGGCCCAGACUCCUACGGGAGGCAGCAGUAGGGAAUCUUCCACAAUGGACGAAAGUCUGAUGGAGCAACGCCGCGUGAGUGAUGAAGGUUUUCGGAUCGUAAAACUCUGUUGUAAGGGAAGAACACGUACGAGAGGGAAUGCUCGUACCUUGACGGUACCUUACGAGAAAGCCACGGCUAACUACGUGCCAGCCGCCGCCGUAAAAC
rnacentral:rRNA from 1 species